rnacentral:rRNA from 1 species
GAUGAACGCUAGCGGCGGGCUUAAUACAUGCAAGUCGAGGGGUGGUAGCAAUACUACACCGGCGCACGGGUGCGUAACGCGUAUGCAAUCUACCUUUAUCUGGGGGAUAGCCCGGGGAAACCCGGAUUAAUACCGCAUAACAAAUUGAUUGGCAUCAUUUAAUUUUAAAAGAUUUAUCGGAUAGAGAUGAGCAUGCGUAAGAUUAGAUAGUUGGCGAGGUAACGGCUCACCAAGUCUACGAUCUUUAGGGGCUCUGAGAGGAGAAUCCCCCACACUGGCACUGGGAUACGGGCCAGACUCCUACGGGAGGCAGCAGUAGGGAAUAUUGGGCAAUGGGCGCAAGCCUGACCCAGCCACGCCGCGUGCAGGAAGAAGGCCCUCUGGGUUGUAAACUGCUUUUGACCGGGAAGAAAAGAAUCUUUGCGAAGAUAGUUGACGGUACCGGCAGAAUAAGCCACGGCUAACUACGUGCCAGCAGCCGCAGUAAAAC